rnacentral:rRNA from 1 species
UACAGAGGUCUCAAGCGUUGUUCGGAUUCAUUGGGCGUAAAGGGUGCGUAGGCGGCGCGGUAAGUCGGGUGUGAAAUCUCGGGGCUUAACUCCGAAACUGCAUUCGAUACUGCGGUGCUUGAGGACCGGAGAGGAGACUGGAAUUCAUGGUGUAGCAGUGAAAUGCGUAGAGAUCAUGAGGAAGACCAGUGGCGAAGGCGGGUCUCUGGACAGUUCCUGACACUGAGGCACGAAGGCCAGGGGAGCAAACGGG